GGGACACGUGGUAUCCUGUCUGAAUAUGGGGGGACCAUCCUCCAAGGCUAAAUACUCCUGACUGACCGAUAGUGAACCAGUACCGUGAGGGAAAGGCGAAAAGAACCCCGGCGAGGGGAGUGAAAAAGAACCUGAAACCGUGUACGUACAAGCAGUGGGAGCCUCUUUUAUGGGGUGACUGCGUACCUUUUGUAUAAUGGGUCAGCGACUUAUAUUCUGUAGCAAGGUUAACCGAAUAGGGGAGCCGAAGGGAAACCGAGUCUUAACUGGGCGUUAAGUUGCAGGGUAUAGACCCGAAACCCGGUGAUCUAGCCAUGGGCAGGUUGAAGGUUGGGUAACACUAACUGGAGGACCGAACCGACUAAUGUUGAAAAAUUAGCGGAUGACUUGUGGCUGGGGGUGAAAGGCCAAUCAAACCGGGAGAUAGCUGGUUCUCCCCGAAAGCUAUUUAGGUAGCGCCUCGUGAAUUCAUCUCCGGGGGUAGAGCACUGUUUCGGCAAGGGGGUCAUCCCGACUUACCAACCCGAUGCAAACUGCGAAUACCGGAGAAUGUUAUCACGG
rnacentral:rRNA from 1 species